UACAGAGGUCUCAAGCGUUGUUCGGAUUCAUUGGGCGUAAAGGGUGCGUAGGCGGCGCGGUAAGUCGGGUGCGAAAUCUCGGAGCUUAACUCCGAAACUGCAUUCGAUACUGCCGUGCUUGAGGACUGGAGAGGAGACUGGAAUUUACGGUGUAGCGGUGAAAUGCGUAGAUAUCGUAAGGAAGACCAGUGGCGAAGACGGGUCUCUGGACAGUUCCUGACGCUGAGGCACGAAGGUCAGGGGAGCAAACGGG
rnacentral:rRNA from 1 species